rnacentral:rRNA from 1 species
UAGGGAAUCUUCGGCAAUGGACGAAAGUUUGACCGAGCAACGCCGCGUGAGUGAAGAAGGUUUUCGGAUCGUAAAACUCUGUUGUUAGAGAAGAACAAGGAUGAGAGUAGAAUGUUCAUCCCUUGACGGUAUCUAACCAGAAAGCCACGGCUAACUACGUGCCAGCAGCCGCGGUAAUACGGAGGGUGCAAGCGUUAAUCGGAAUUACUGGGCGUAAAGCGCACGUAGGCUGCUUUGUAAGUCAGGGGUGAAAUCCCACGGCUCAACCGUGGAACUGCCUUUGAUACUGCUUAGCUUGAAUCCGGGAGAGGGUGGCGGAAUUCCAGGUGUAGGAGUGAAAUCCGUAGAUAUCUGGAGGAACAUCAGUGGCGAAGGCGGCCACCUGGACCGGUAUUGACGCUGAGGUGCGAAAGCGUGGGGAGCAAACAGG